rnacentral:lncRNA from 1 species
AUUCCCAGAGUUGAGAAGCUGAGAUACAGACGCACUUACGGGUGCCUCGAUGGCAGAUGAUAACCUUCUGGGCCUGGUUACCGGGGCUGUCCCCUCCGAGGUGGCGGCUGCCACCUGGGACCCCGCAACCACCUGUGCCACUCCCGCGCAGCGGCAGGUCCGUUUGCACCAGCUCGCUGAGGAAGUUAAUGUAGCCUAUGGCCAAGCGCAGCGUGUCUACUUUGGAGAGGCGCUUUUCGUAGGGCAGCGUGGGGAUGUGCGAACGCAGCCCCUCGAAGGCAUCGUUGAUAGACUGCAUGCGGCGCCGCUCUCGCACAUUGGCGGCUUGUCGCAGCUGCUGCAGCUCCGCCUCGGAGCGCACGCGUCGCCGCCGUCUUGCCGCCGCCGCCGCCGCCGCAGCCCCGUUCAAACCACCGAGCCGCGCACCGGGCGACAGCACCCCGGCGCAAGGCUCGUCGCUGUCCUCCAGCGGGUCCCGAGAGGACUGGUCGGUGAAGAAAUCUUCCUCAUCGAAGUAAGCGGACGAGAAGGUGUCCAGGCCCCCUGGGAAGUGCUCCAGGAGUACGGCGUCCAUGCCGUCGGCCGCCGAGGCCCGGAAAGACGAAUGGGCUGCUCCGGGUGACGCUUUGUGAGUGAUCCGUGGCAGUUUGGGUAUCAUCUCCUGAGCAACUUAUGCCUUUAGAAGCCAUGAUGAUGUGCCUUGAUCUCUGAGAACCCUGACUCACUCUUCUCUCCAAUAGCUUUGGCCACAUGAGAGUGGGUCUUCUAUCCAUGGCCGUGAGCCCAGUGAGAGGAAUCAGAAUCCAGCAAGCCUGGUUUAACUCCGCAUCACAGUAGUGUUCCAUAUAUUGCUCUGCCUUUUCUUUAUUUCUGUCAUUUUGCACUAAUUUUCACAUAGAUGAGCUCAUUUGCUCC